rnacentral:tRNA from 1 species
GCGGGGGUGGCAGAGCCUGGCCAAAUGCGCAAGGUUGAGGGCCUUGUCCCUUAGUGGGUGCGCGCGUUCGAAUCGCGUCCCCCGCA